CCUACGGGACGCAGCAGUGGGGAAUAUUGCACAAUGGGCGCAAGCCUGAUGCAGCCAUGCCGCGUGUGUGAAGAAGGCCUUCGGGUUGUAAAGCACUUUCAGCGGGGAGGAAGACGUUAAGGUUAAUAACCUUAGCGAUUGACGUUACCCGCAGAAGAAGCACCGGCUAACUCCGUGCCAGCAGCCGCGGUAAUACGGAGGGUGCAAGCGUUAAUCGGAAUUACUGGGCGUAAAGCGCACGCAGGCGGUCUGUCAAGUCGGAUGUGAAAUCCCCGGGCUCAACCUGGGAACUGCACUCGAAACUGGCAGGCUAGGGUCUUGCAGAGGAGGGUAGAAUUCCAGGUGUAUCGGUGAAAUGCGUAGAGAUCUGGAGGAAUACCGGUGGCGAAGGCGGCCCCCUGGACAAAGACUGACGCUCAGGUGCGAAAGCGUGGGGAGCAAACAGGAUUAGAUACCCGCGUAGUC
rnacentral:rRNA from 1 species